rnacentral:tRNA from 1 species
GGGCUGGGGCUCAGUGGCAGAGUGCUAGCUUAGCAUGCGUGAGGCCCUGGGUUCAAUUCUCAGCACCACA